rnacentral:rRNA from 1 species
GGAUUUAGAGACCGGCGCACGGGUGCGUAACGCGUAUGCAAUCUACCUUUUACAGAGGGAUAGCCCAGAGAAAUUUGGAUUAAUACCUCAUAGUAUUAUGAAAUGGCAUCAUUUUAUAAUUAAAGUCACAACGGUAAAAGAUGAGCAUGCGUCCCAUUAGCUAGUUGGUAAGGUAACGGCUUACCAAGGCUACGAUGGGUAGGGGUCCUGAGAGGGAGAUCCCCCACACUGGUACUGAGACACGGACCAGACUCCUACGGGAGGCAGCAGUGAGGAAUAUUGGACAAUGGGCGCAAGCCUGAUCCAGCCAUGCCGCGUGCAGGAUGACGGUCCUAUGGAUUGUAAACUGCUUUUGUACGAGAAGAAACACUCCUAUGUAUAGGAGCUUGACGGUAUCGUAAGAAUAAGGAUCGGCUAACUCCGUGCCAGCAGCCGCGGUAAUACGGAGGAUCCAAGCGUUAUCCGGAAUCAUUGGGUUUAAAGGGUCCGUAGGCGGUUUAAUAAGUCAGUGGUGAAAGCCCAUCGCUCAACGGUGGAACGGCCAUUGAUACUGUUAAACUUGAAUUAUUAGGAAGUAACUAGAAUAUGUAGUGUAGCGGUGAAAUGCUUAGAGAUUACAUGGAAUACCAAUUGCGAAGGCAGGUUACUACUAAUGGAUUGACGCUGAUGGACGAAAGCGUGGGUAGCGAACAGGAUUAGAUACCCUGGUAGUCCACGCCGUAAACGAUGGAUACUAGCUGUUGGAAGCAAUUUCAGUGGCUAAGCGAAAGUGAUAAGUAUCCCACCUGGGGAGUACGUUCGCAAGAAUGAAACUCAAAGGAAUUGACGGGGGCCCGCACAAGCGGUGGAGCAUGUGGUUUAAUUCGAUGAUACGCGAGGAACCUUACCAAGGCUUAAAUGUAGAUUGACCGAUUUGGAAACAGAUCUUUCGCAAGACAAUUUACAAGGUGCUGCAUGGUUGUCGUCAGCUCGUGCCGUGAGGUGUCAGGUUAAGUCCUAUAACGAGCGCAACCCCUGUUGUUAGUUGCCAGCGAGUCAAGUCGGGAACUCUAACAAGACUGCUAGUGCAAACUGUGAGGAAGGUGGGGAUGACGUCAAAUCAUCACGGCCCUUACGCCUUGGGCUACACACGUGCUACAAUGGCCGGUACGAAAAGCAGCCAUGGGGCGACCAGGAGCGAAUCUAUAAAACCGGUUCCAGUUCGGAUCGGAGUCUGCACUCGACUCCUGAAACUGGAAUCCUAGUAUCUGAAACCGCCAUGACCGGGGAAACUUUCCCGGGCUUGAACACACGCCCACUGGUACUGAGACACGGACCAGAUUCCUACGGGAGGCAGCAGUGAGGAAUAUUGGACAAUGGGCGCAAGCCUGAUCCAGCCAUGCCGCGUGCAGGAUGACGGUCCUAUGGAUUGUAAACUGCUUUUGUACGAGAAGAAACACUCCUAUGUAUAGGA